rnacentral:rRNA from 1 species
AACGAACGCUGGCGGCAUGCCUAACACAUGCAAGUCGAACGAGACCUUCGGGUCUAGUGGCGCACGGGUGCGUAACACGUGGGAAUCUGCCCUUUGCUUCGGAAUAACAGUUAGAAAUGACUGCUAAUACCGGAUGAUGUCGAAAGACCAAAGAUUUAUCGGCAAAGGAUGAGCCCGCGUAGGAUUAGGUAGUUGGUGGGGUAAAGGCCUACCAAGCCGACGAUCCUUAGCUGGUCUGAGAGGAUGAUCAGCCACACUGGGACUGAGACACGGCCCAGACUCCUACGGGAAGCAGCAGUGGGGAAUAUUGGACAAUGGGCGAAAGCCUGAUCCAGCAAUGCCGCGUGAGUGAUGAAGGCCUUAGGGUUGUAAAGCUCUUUUACCAGGGAUGAUAAUGACGGUACCUGGAGAAUAAGCUCCGGCUAACUCCGUG